AUCUUUGCGCAGAGGCGAUAUCGUAACCAAUGAGGUUCUACCGGGGUGGGAUUUUUGCUAGUUGAAAACUUUUACCAAUCCCCCGCCAUGACGAUGUGAAAUACCAUCGGCUACGGCAAUUUUUGAAAGUUUCUGCGGAAA
rfam:Camponotus floridanus CamFlo_1.0_4.contig5349, whole genome shotgun sequence.